CGAAAGCCUGACGGAGCAAUACCGCGUGAGGGAAGAAGGCUUUUGGGUUGUAAACCUCUUUUGUCAGGGAAGAAGAAUUGACGGUACCUGAAGAAAAAGCAUCGGCUAACUCCGUGCCAGCAGCCGCGGUAAUACGGAGGAUGCAAGCGUUAUCCGGAAUCAUUGGGCGUAAAGGGUCCGCAGGUGGCGAAUAAAGUCUGCUGUUAAAGACCGGGGCUUAACUCCGGAAAGGCAGUGGAAACUGAUUAGCUAGAGUACGGUAGGGGUAGAGGGAAUUCCCAGUGUAGCGGUGAAAUGCGUAGAUAUUGGGAAGAACACCGGUGGCGAAAGCGCUCUACUAGGCCGAAACUGACACUGAGGGACGAAAGCUAGGGUAGCGAAAGGGAUUAGAUACCCCUGUAGUCUUAGCGGUAAACGAUGGAUACUAGGUGUAGCUUGUAUCGACCCGAGCUGUGCCGAAGCUAACGCGAUAAGUAUCCCGCCUGGGGAGUACGCACGCAAGCGUGAAACUCAAAGGAAUUGACGGGGGCCCGCACAAGCGGUGGAGUAUGUGGUUUAAUUCGAUGCAACGCGAAGAACCUUACCAGGGCUUGACAUGUCGCGAAUCUAGCGGAAACGUUAGAGUGCCUUAGGGAAUGCGAACACAGGUGGUGCAUGGCUGUCGUCAGCUCGUGUCGUGAGAUGUUGGGUUAAGUCCCGCAACGAGCGCAACCCUCGUCCUUAGCUGCCAAUAUUAAGUUAGGCACUCUAGGGAGACUGCCGGGGACAACUCGGAGGAAGGUGGGGAUGACGUCAAGUCAGCAUGCCCCUUACGUCCUGGGCGACACACGUACUACAAUGGUUGGGACAAAGGGCAGCAAGCUCGCGAGAGUAAGCGAAUCUCAUCAAACCCAGCCACAGUUCAGAUUGCAGGCUGCAACUCGCCUGCAUGAAGUAGGAAUCGCUAGUAAUCGCAGGUCAGCAUACUGCGGUGAAUUCGUUCCCGGGCCUUGUACACACCGCCCGUCACACCAUGGAAGCUGGCUACGCCCGAAGUCGUUACCCUAACCCGGUUUUGGGAGGGGGAUGCCGAAGGUAGAGCUAGUGACUGGGGUGAAGUCGUAACAAGGUAGCCGUACCGGAAGGUGUGGCUGGAUCACCUCCUUU
rnacentral:rRNA from 1 species